UUCCGGUUGAUCCCGCCGGACCCCACUGCUAUCGAGAUGGGACUAAGGUAUGCUAGCCGAACGACCGGAACUAUGUCUGGAAGUGGCACACUGCUCAGUAACACGUAGCUAACCUACCCUUAGGACGUGGAUACCCCCGAGAAAUUGGGGUUAAUCCGCGAUAGGUGUAAUGUCCUGGAAUGGUAUUACGCCUAAAGGUGUAUCAUACAUGUUUGAUAUACGCCUAAGGAUGGGGCUGCGGCCGAUCAGGCUGUUGGUGAGGUAAUGGCUCACCAAACCUUUGACCGGUACGGGCCAUGAGAGUGGUAGCCCGGAGAUGGACACUGAGGCAAGGGUCCAGGCCCUAAGGGGCGCAGCAACCGCGAAACCUCCACAAUGCACUCACGUGCGAUGGGGCUAUCUCGAGUGCCACCUGAUGAAGGUGGCUUUUCCUAGGUCUUCAAAGCCUUGGGAAUAAGAGGGGGGCAAGACUGGUGUCAGCCGCCGCGGUAACACCAGCCCCUCGAGUGGUGGGGAUGAUUAUUUGGCCUAAAGCGUCCGUAGCCGGCCGAGCAAGUCUUCCGUUAAAUCCAGCGUCUCAAGCGUUGGACUGCGGGAGAUACUACACGGCUAGAGAGUGGGAGAGGUCAGCGGUAUUCUGGGGGUAGGGGCGAAAUCCUUUGAUCCCCGGAGGACCACCAGUGGCGAAGGCUGCUGACUAGAACACGUCUGACGGUCAGGGACGAAAGCUGGGGUAGCGAACCGGAUUAGAUACCCGGGUAGUCCCAGCCGUAAACGAUGCAUGCUAGGUGUUGGGUUGGCCACGAGCCACCCCAGUGCCGCAGGGAAGCCGUUAAGCAUGCCGCCUGGGAAGUACGAUCGCAAGAUUGAAACUUAAAGGAAUUGGCGGGGGAGCACCACCAGGCGUGAAGCCUGCGGUUUAAUUGGAUUCAACGCCGGG
rnacentral:rRNA from 1 species